CAGCCGCCGCGGGAAUACGUAGGUCCCGAGCGUUGUCCGGAUUUAUUGGGCGUAAAGCGAGCGCAGGCGGUUAGAUAAGUCUGAAGUUAAAGGCUGUGGCUUAACCAUAGUACGCUUUGGAAACUGUUUAACUUGAGUGCAAGAGGGGAGAGUGGAAUUCCAUGUGUAGCGGUGAAAUGCGUAGAUAUACGGAGGAGCACCGGUGGCGAAAGCGGCUCUCUGGCUUGUAACUGACGCUGAGGCUCGAAAGCGUGGGGAGCAAACAGGAUUAGAUACCCCAGUAGUCCCUGUCUCUUAUACC
rnacentral:rRNA from 1 species